GCCCGGCUGGCUCAAUCGGUAGAGCGUGAGACUCUUAAGGCUCAACAGCUAGGUAUCUCAAGGUUGGGGGUUCGACCCCCCGCCGGGCU
rnacentral:tRNA from 1 species